AAGAACAAACCAACCAUAACGGAGAGAGAGUCAAAAAUAUGUGUAAACAAGGACCCAAUACGGCACAGGACUACAAGUAAACAAGGAAGAAAGAACGAAAGGAAAAGAAACCAAAGAAAACAAAGGAAUCCAACAAAAAAUAUAAAGGACUUUCAUCGAACAUGUGAUGGGCGCAACUUCGGCACACAAUUCCAAGCACAUACGAGACCCAAUUUCAACACCAAGCACAUUCCAAC
rnacentral:lncRNA from 1 species